GGGCCGUUAGCUCAGUGGAUAGAGCAGCAACCUUCUAAGUUGCGGAGGCGAGUUCGACUCUCGCACGGCCCU
rnacentral:tRNA from 1 species